UGGGGAAUAUUGGACAAUGGGCGAAAGCCUGAUCCAGCCAUGCCGCGUGUGUGAAGAAGGUCUUCGGAUUGUAAAGCACUUUAAGUUGGGAGGAAGGGCAGUAAGCGAAUACCUUGCUGUUUUGACGUUACCGACAGAAUAAGCACCGGCUAACUCUGUGCCAGCAGCCGCGGUAAUACAGAGGGUGCAAGCGUUAAUCGGAAUUACUGGGCGUAAAGCGCGCGUAGGUGGUUCGUUAAGUUGAAUGUGAAAGCCCCGGGCUCAACCUGGGAACUGCAUCCAGAACUGGCGGGCUGGAGUAGGGCAGAGGGUGGUGGAAUUUCCUGUGUAGCGGUGAAAUGCGUAGAUAUAGGAAGGAACACCAGUGGCGAAGGCGACCACCUGGGCUCGUACUGACACUGAGGUGCGAAAGCGUGGGGAGCAAACAGG
rnacentral:rRNA from 1 species